rnacentral:rRNA from 1 species
AUGAGAAUGACCAUUCCUACUAUUUCUGGUGCUGCUACUUCCGAGAUCUCUGCCAGGAACGACGACCAGGAAAUGGAAGAUGCUGCCACCUCCAACCUUGCUCCUCCUCAUGUCAUUGAUCUCCCUGAUGAUGACGACGAGGCGCCGCUGAGGCCGAGGAGGAACAGAAAGGCGCCGGCCGGCAAGACCACUCAGAUUGCAUCAGAGCCUGAGACACUAGUUCAGGAGGGUGGCAACAUCACUCGGACUUCCGUGUCUUUCGGUGUACCGCUGACGAGUGCUCGACCUUCGUCGUCGACUGCUGAUCCGCCUUCCCUUUUCGCCACCCACCACGUCCCAGAGGACCAAGCGGGUGCUGCUAAGGAGGCCAUACGCCAGGCAGGGAUCAUGAUGGAGCAGGUGAAGACGAUCCGAGAAGCCAGUCAGGCGGCUUAUGAUGCAAGCUCAGCUCUUCAGAGCAACGUCCAGAAAUCUUGCGAGCUUGUGGCUCGUUACACUGAAUUAGAAAACAAGCAUAUCCAGCUCGACCUUGACUUGAAGCUUGUUCAAGAGAACUUCCAGAAGGCGAAGGAUGAAGCAAAAGAUAAACUGAAGGAGGCUCUGAAGAAGAAGGACCAUGAACUCGCCGAGGCACAGAAGGCAGCUUUGGACAAAACGAAGCUUGCAGAAGAAAAACUGGCUUCAGUCGGGAAACUUGAAGAGGAGAACGCCAAUCUGAAAGCUACUCUCGACGCGGCCAACAAGGAGGUCAGCCAUCUAAAGAAUGACAAGAUAGCUCUGAGUGACAAGGCUAGCAAACUGGCGGGGAAGAAGAACGAUCUGGAGGCUUAUCUGGGAGGGCUCGCCAAGAAGCUAUUCCUCAUGCUUGAAGAAUUCUGCCAGAACUUUGAGGAGGAGACCAGUCGAGUGGAGACAAGCUUGGACCCCAUCAACUCUCUUGUGAAGGAUGAAGCCGCUAUGAACGUGCUCCGACUGGAGUCUCGUGUUGCCGGUGUGGUUGACUACCUCGCUCGGCUGAAGGUUGCGGUGUCGCGGAUUGACACGACACUCUGGCCAAGAGAGACACUUCAAAAUGACCUUGAGUCUUUAAUGACUCGACUGAAUGACGUUCCAGGUCGAGUGCAGGAAUGGAAGAAGUCUUACGCCAGGUGUGGUGCUGAUGUUGCUCUAUCCAUGGUACGUGUUCACUGCAAGGACGCGCGAGAGGACAAGCUGGCGUCCAUCAAAGUGGCCAAUACCAAGAAGCAUGACUUCCAAUCUUUCAUGGAGACCUUCAUUGCUGCUGCCACUCGGAUUGCUGACGGAAUCGACCUGGACCAGUUUGUCGCGCCCUCCAGUCCUCCACCUGAGGAGUAA